AAAAGUUUAAACGCGACAUACUUGAUUUUUUAGCUGUAUCCAUACUUUUCAGCGACCUUGUACUCGCAUACCAAUUAUUUUUAAAUUGUUUGCUUCCCAGAUAAUUCUUUUGAGCUGUUACUUGCACCUGGUGGUGUGCCCUUACAUUCUUUACGUGGUGGCAAGUAGCGAUAAUGGCCUAUUUUGCAACACGGUCUAUUUUUUGUGGAUUUCGGUCCACUUUUCGCGCCUAUUGGUAAUAAUAGAAGUUUGCAACAAUUGUGAGAAUGAGUGUCACAAAACUCGCAAUUUAAUUUUUAAAUUGUUGGCUAACACUAGUAAGAAAGGGGACGUUCGUAGAGAAUUGAAACUGUUUGCAUAUAAAAACGUGGGGAAAAAAGUGAGAUUUUCAUCGUAUGCUGUUCCUAAAAUUAAUCGGAAACUACUCAUUUCGAUUGCCACCUCAAUUAGUUCCUAUUGGAUGAUUUUGUACCAAUUUGGGGCUAGUACAACUGGAUUGUAAAUUAUUAAAAAUACUGAUAUCUAAGUGUUAGGAUAAGAAAGGAAGUACAAAUAAAACAUUCCCGUUAAUGGCGCCAGAUGGCGCUGUUGUUCCAUUACCCUCUAAGUUUAUAGUGACUUUGAAAAAA